AUUGAACGCUGGCGGCAGGCCUAACACAUGCAAGUCGAACGAGUGGCGGACGGGGGAGUAAUGUCUGGGAAACUGCCCGAUGGAGGGGGAUAACUACUGGAAACGGUAGCUAAUACCGCAUACCAUCGGAUGUGCCCAGAGGGGAUUAGCUAGUAGGUGGGGUAACGGCUCACCGAGGCGACGAUCCCUAGCUGGGCGGAGAGGAUGACCAGCCACACUGGGACUUGGACACGGUCCAGACUCCGCCGGCAGGCAGCAGUGGGGAAUAUUGCACAAUGGGCGCAAGCCUGAUGCAGCCAUGCCGCGUGUAUGAAGAAGGCCUUCGGGUUGUAAAGUUCUUUCAGCUAGGAGGCGUUACUCGCAGAAGAAGCACCGGCUAACUCCGUGCCAGCAGCCGCGGUAAUAC
rnacentral:rRNA from 1 species